AUGACCGUGACACUGCAGGAUAUCGCUAUGAUCACCGGUCUUCCUAUCGAUGGCAAUCCUUUAUGUAUGAACACCGAUUCUGAAGGGUGGCGCGCGCAGAUGCAAGCCGGUAUGGUUCCUCCGGAGCCUCGGGAGCCAGAAAGGGAAGAUAAGAAGAAGGAAAGAGUCGCAGCGGGCGCUACUUUCACGUGGAUAUCAUCGCACUUCGCUCAUUGCCCCGAUGAUGCUAAUGAGGACAUGGUGAAGACUUAUGCUCGUGUCUACAUGUGGUACGUGGUAUCGAGGACAAUGUUUGCUGAUGGCACAGGCAAGAAUGCUCCAUGGAUGUGGCUAAAGGCGUUGACCGUCUUCGAUAGCAAAUGGAGUUGGGGUUCGGCGACACUAGCUUACUUGUAUCGACAGGUAUGA
rnacentral:rRNA from 1 species